GACGAACGCUGGCGGCGUGCCUAAUACAUGCAAGUCGAGCGAUGAAGAUUGGUUCUCGCACCACUUUGAAGAGCAGCGAACGGGUGAGUCACGCGUGGGGAAUCUGCCUUUGAGCGGGGGACAACAUUUGGAAACGAAUGCUAAUACCGCAUAACAACUUUAAACAUAAGUUUGAAGAUUGAAAGAUGCAAUUGCUUCACUCAAAGAUGAUCCCUCGUUGUAUUAGCUAGUUGGUGAGGAAAAGGCCCACCAAGGGGAGGAUACAUAGCCGACCUGGGAGGGUGGUAGGCCACAUUGGGACGGGGACACGGCCCAUGCGCCUGCGGGAGGCAGCAGUAGGGUAUCUUCGGCAAUGGACGGAAGUCUGACCGAACGACGCCGAGGGUGUGGAGAAGGUUCUCGGUUCGUGAAGCUCUGUUUGUAGAGGAGAACGUUGGUGAGAGUGGAAAGCGCAUCAAGUGACGGUAACUACACAGGAAGCGCCGGCUAACUACGUG
rnacentral:rRNA from 1 species